GCUCCAGCCAGAGCUCGAGGUUAGCUCUUCACUGCCCUGUGUCUUCUUUCCAAGGGUCUCGGUGAUUCGGCCACAGCCUCAGCCUCCAUCACGCGGUGAACUGAUGGUGCUGGAAGAUUCAUAGACUCCAGGACAUUCCUGAAGCCGAGAAAAGGUCAGAAAUCCUGAAGGUCACUUUCUGACAAACUCAGGAACCCCAGGUUUAUCUUGGAGCCUCAAGAGGAGAUAAAUUCACCCAACUCAGGUAUUUGAUGGUACAAAUCCAUGUCUGGGGUUGGCUUUUAAAAAGUAUUAUCUGAGAUUCCUUCUGUGGAACAAAGUUCCAUCGGGGAAAAAUUGUGCAAAUGUAAUAAAUUUGGAAAAACACUUUUUCAAAAACUACAGCUUAGAAAACAACAGAGAGUUCAUACUGGAGUAUGCUUUUGCAGAUGCAGUACAUGUAAAAAAAUAUUUAAUCCAUAAUUAAGUCUAUGCAAAUAUCAGAAUUUAUGGUAGAAAUAUAUAAGGCACUGACACACUUCACGUAUUCUAAAUCAGUGCUGAGUAUAGGAAAUCUAAAACUAAAGUUGGCAGAAAAAUUAUUUGUAUGUAACUUUCAGAGGAUCAGAAGGUUUUUUGCAGAAUUAUAAUUACAUUCAAAGUAUAUUUCUUGAAAAAAAUACAGAUUUUUUGAAAAGUGAAUAAUGAUGUCAUUCAACUCUGAAAUUAUUUCCUGCUGUUUCUUCAUUCCUAUUGGAGUCAAAUGUGAAAGCAUAGGAUCAAUUGUUGCUGCGUCAAAGAUGUGAGAGAUUCUUUUUGUUUUGUUUUGUUUUCUGUUUUUUUGAGAUGGAAUUUCGCUCUUUUGCCCAGGCUGGAGUGCAGUGGAAUGAUCUUGGCUCACUUCCGUCUCCGCCUUCCAGUUUCAAGUGAUUCUCCUGCCUCAGCCUACUGAGUAGUUGGGAUUACAGGUGCCUGCCACCACACCCAGCUAAUUUUUGUAUUUUUAGUAAAGAUGGGGUUUCACCAUGUUGGCCAGGCUGGUCUCAAACUCCUGACGUCAUGAUCUGCCCGCUUCAGUCUCCCAAAGUGUGAUUACAGGUGUGAGCCACCAUGCCUGGCAAGGCAUUCUUUUUUAUUAGGGGGGUGUUGUUUAUUACCUCUUCUAUAGAAAAGUAAAGACAUUAAAAUGUAAGAUGCAUAAUAAAAAUCUAAGUGGAGAGGCUCUUAUAACCUAUAAUAUUGAGUGAUGCAUCAGGUAGGUGUUCAGAGUAAUCUGCAUUAUCAUGAGAAGAAAACAUGUUUAAUUUUAUUUAAAAUUAAAUGAGUAGUAUAUUAUUGUACUAAUUGUACUAAUUUUUUCUGAGACAGAGUUUUGCUCUUGGUGCCCAGGCUGGAGUGCAUUGGCACGAUCUCUGGCUCACUGUGACCUCUGCCUCCCAGAUUCAAGUGAUUCUCCUGCCUCAGCCUCCUGAGUAGCUGGGAUUACGGGCAUGUGCCCCCAUGCCUGGCUAAUUUUGAAUUUUUAGUAGAAACAGGGUUUCUCCAUGUUGGUCAGGCUGGUCUUGAACUGCCAACCUCAGGUGAUCUGCCCACUUUGGCCUCCCAAAGUGCUGGGAUUACAGGCAUGAGCCACCGAGCCUGGCCUGAUUGUACUUUUAUAUAAUAAAAUGCAGUACAUUUAUAAAUUUUAGAUUAUGUGUGAAGUUAAUAGUUUAAUUCAACAUUUUUAACAUGUUAAAUACUAUUGUGCAUUCAAUGAAGCGUUAUUAUGCCACAAACUUUAACCUCUUUCACCUUACUCAAGGGUAUAGGUAAAAGAUGGUAACAAUAUACUGUUUAGUAAGAUAAUAGAUUAACAUCUCUAGUGAUUUUUUUUUUUUGCCAGUGGCUUUCAACUGCAAAUAAGUUAAAGAAUAUUGUUUCUGUAGGUAAAUUUUUAUUCUGUUUUUAAUCAUUUAAAUUUAUUUUAAUUUUGGUGGCUGCAUGAGUAUCUAUGCAAUAUAUGGCAUGUUUUAAUACAGGAAUACAAUAUAUAAUAAUAAUAUCA
ensembl:lncRNA novel transcript